AAAUUGAAGAGUUUGAUCAUGGCUCAGAUUGAACGCUGGCGGCAGGCCUAACACAUGCAAGUCGAGCGGCAGCGGGAAAGUAGCUUGCUACUUUUGCCGGCGAGCGGCGGACGGGUGAGUAAUGCCUGGGGAUCUGCCCAAUCGAGGGGGAUAACAGUUGGAAACGACUGCUAAUACCGCAUACGCCCUACGGGGGAAAGGAGGGGACCUUCGGGCCUUUCGCGAUUGGA
rnacentral:rRNA from 1 species